CACGUAGGGUGCGAGCGUUGUCCGGAAUUAUUGGGCGUAAAGAGCUCGUAGGCGGUGUGUCGCGUCGGCCGUGAAAACCUGCAGCUUAACUGUGGGCUUGCGGUCGAUACGGGCAUCACUGGAGUUCGGCAGGGGAGACUGGAAUUCCUGGUGUAGCGGUGAAAUGCGCAGAUAUCAGGAGGAACACCGGUGGCGAAGGCGGGUCUCUGGGCCGAUACUGACGCUGGAGGAGCGAAAAGCCGU
rnacentral:rRNA from 1 species